rnacentral:rRNA from 1 species
GGGGGAAUAUUGGGGCAAAUGGGGCGAAAGCCUGACCCAGCAACGCCGCGUGGAGGAAGAAGGUUUUCGGAUCGUAAACUCCUGUCCUCAGGGAAGAGAAGGAGACGGUACCUGAGGAGGAAGCCCCCGGCUAACUACGUGCCAGCAGCCGCGGUAAUACGUAGGGGGCAAGCGUUGUCCGGAAUGAUUGGGCGUAAAGGGCGCGUAGGCGGCUCGGUAAGUCUGGAGUGAAAGUCCUGGCUUCAAGUUGGGAAUUGCUUUGGAUACUGUCGGGCUUGAGUGCAGGAGAGGUUAGUGGAAUUCCCAGUGUAGCGGUGA